UUUGUCCACUAAUUAUGGACCUGUAUGAAAGGCCACAUGAGAAUCUAACUGUCUCUUGUAAUUAAUUUAUAAAACUGAUCUUCCAGUCCAAAAGCUAGAAUAUCCAUAUAAGACGAGAAGACCCUGUGAAGCUUAAAAAACCCUAUUAAACCAAUUAAUAGGUAUUUUUAGUUGGGGCAACUUUGGAAAACAACCUAACUUCCAAACAAGAAAAACAAUACCCAACAAGACCUACAAGUCAACAAAGACCCAGUAUAACUGAUAAAUGAACCAAGUUACUCCAGGGAUAACAGCGCAAUCUUCUUCAAGAGCCCAUAUCAAAAAGAAGGUUUACGACCUCGAUGUUGGAUCAGGACACCCAAAUGGCGCAGCCGCUAUUAAAGGUUCGUUUGUUCAACGAUUAACAGU
rnacentral:rRNA from 1 species